rfam:Gossypium raimondii Chr12_contig_846, whole genome shotgun sequence.
AGUUAAAAUUUUUAUUAUUUUUAUUGUUAAAAAUUGGCGUAUUCGAUGGAAUAGUUGGAUAAUUAUAUUUGGUGUGCUAUAUGUAUCUCAUGUUACCAUAGAGGGCUCUGUUUUUAAUAGUAUAAAUGGAUAAAAAAUUUAAUG